AGUGAACGCUGGCGGUAGGCCUAACACAUGCAAGUCGAACGGCAGCACAGUAAGAGCUUGCUCUUACGGGUGGCGAGUGGCGGACGGGUGAGGAAUACAUCGGAAUCUACUUUUUCGUGGGGGACAACGUAGGGAAACUUACGCUAAUACCGCAUACGACCUACGGGUGAAAGCAGGGGAUCUUCGGACCUUGCGCGAUUGAAUGAGCCGAUGUCGGAUUAGCUAGUUGGCGGGGUAAAGGCCCACCAAGGCGACGAUCCGUAGCUGGUCUGAGAGGAUGAUCAGCCACACUGGAACUGAGACACGGUCCAGACUCCUACGGGAGGCAGCAGUGGGGAAUAUUGGACAAUGGGCGCAAGCCUGAUCCAGCCAUACCGCGUGGGUGAAGAAGGCCUUCGGGUUGUAAAGCCCUUUUGUUGGGAAAGAAAAGCAGCAGGUUAAUACCCCGCUGUCCUGACGGUACCCAAAGAAUAAGCACCGGCUAACUUCGUG
rnacentral:rRNA from 1 species